AACGUAGGAGACAAACGUUAUCCGGAGUUACUGGGCGUAAAGGGCGUGUGAGGUGGUUUUGUAAGUCUGGCGUGAAAUUUUUCGGCUUAACCGGGAAAGGUCGUCGGAUACUGCAAGGCUAGAGGACGGUAGAGGCGUGUGGAAUUCCGGGUGUAGUGGUGAAAUGCGCAGAUAUCAGGAGGAACACCGGUGGCGAAGGCGGGUCUCUGGGCCGAUACUGACACUGAGGAGCGAAAGCGUGGGGAGCGAACAGG
rnacentral:rRNA from 1 species